UAAGUAACCUGCCCUAGACAGGGGGAUAACUGCUGGAAACGGCAGCUAAGACCGCAUAGGUAUGGACACUGCAUGGUGACCAUAUUAAAAGCGCCAAGGCACUGGUAGAGGAUGGACUUAUGGCGCAUUAGCUGGUUGGUGAGGUAACGGCUCACCAAGGCGACGAUGCGUAGCCGACCUGAGAGGGUGACCGGCCACACUGGGACUGAGACGCGGCCCAG
rnacentral:rRNA from 1 species